GUCUACGGCCAUACCACCCUGAACGCGCCCGAUCUCGUCUGAUCUCGGAAGCUAAGCAGGGUCGGGCCUGGUUAGUACUUGGAUGGAAGACUUGCGAGGGAAGCGGGAGCCGUGGGAG
rnacentral:rRNA from 1 species